rfam:Erysipelothrix rhusiopathiae str. Fujisawa DNA, complete genome.
GCUUGUUUAGCUCAGUCGGUAGAGCAACUGGCUGUUAACCAGUGGGUCGCAGGUUCGAGUCCUGCAACAAGCG